rnacentral:rRNA from 1 species
CCUACGGGGGGCAGCAGUGAGGAAUAUUGGUCAAUGGGCGGAAGCCUGAACCAGCCAAGUAGCGUGCAGGAUGACGGCCCUACGGGUUGUAAACUGCUUUUAUACGGGAAUAACGCGCCUUACGUGUAGGGCUUUGCAUGUACCGUAUGAAUAAGGACCGGCUAAUUCCGUGCCAGCAGCCGCGGUAAUACGGAAGGUCCGGGCGUUAUCCGGAUUUAUUGGGUUUAAAGGGAGCGUAGGCCGCAUGUCAAGCGUGCUGUGAAAUGUCCGGGCUCAACCCGGGCCUUGCAGCGCGAACUGGCGUACGUGAGUCCGCGGAAAGCAGGCGGAAUUCGUCGUGUAGCGGUGAAAUGCUUAGAUAUGACGAAGAACCCCGAUUGCGAAGGCAGCUUGCUGCAGCGGAACUGACGCUGAUGCUCGAAAGCGCGGGUAUCGAACAGGAUUAGAUACCCUUGUAGUC